rnacentral:lncRNA from 1 species
AGGAAACAAUGAAAACUAGACUUGAGAAAAAGCUUUGCAUCUUGUGUGUGUUUUAAUGGAAUCUUUUCUUUUUCUUUAAUGACCUUUUUUGCCUCCAUUUUUGCUUGCUUACCAUUGUUCUCUUAGGUUGCUAGCCGCCCACCCUUUCUUCCCACCAAAUAAGUCUUGGAAAGAAAAUUCAUAGCAAAUUCAUGGGAAUGCCUGGAAAGGAUAUGUAGGGCUUUCCACUGUGUAUAUAUAACUUUUUUUUUUUUUUUUCAUUUUACGUGCUUGGGAUUGAACCCAGGGCCUCACGCAUGCUAGGCAAGUGCUCUACCACUGAGCCAUAUCCCCAACCCUGUAACUUUUUAUUACUUAGAAGAACUAAAGGAAAAAUAUGGUUCUGUCAUCUGCCUCUUCCACAUAAUAAAUGUUCUUUGGUUCCUUGCACCUUUAGCGUCUGCUCUUUUCCUGUCCAUCCUGUGAGGGCUCCAGCUUCUUCUAACCAUCCUCCAUCAGAUUGCUUUUCUUUUAGCCUUUAGGCAUGGAGUCUGUCCCAGAGCUGUGGACCACUCCACUGGGAAGGGACUUUUUCUUUUCCUCCUUCUGUAUUCUUCCAAAUCUGUACCCAGUUAGAUGUUUACUAUAGAAAGAAUUUACUGUUUUCUGAAGCACAAAUAUAGUUAUCAAUUUAAGUUUAAAAACUGAGAGUGUAUAUUUUUCUUGAAGCACAUGAUGUUAAAUUCUCCUAAAUUUACAUUGCAUAAUUAUGGGCAAGCUGACUUGGGAAUUUCCCCAUGAUGUAAGUACCAGACUAUGACAACUUUGUGUGUUGUCACCAAUACAAAGGUCUGUUUUUUGUUUUUGCAUUUACUGAUAAUGUGUGUCAGUUGUUCUGUUAUAUUUAAAUGGAAUUUCCUCACAUAAAAAGUUGUUCAGACGUUGAUGUGCUUCUAUUUUGAUAAAAGUUUGUGCUGCUUUGCCCAAUAAAGUCAUCCGCU